rnacentral:hammerhead_ribozyme from 1 species
AUCCAGCCGACGAGUUCCAAAUAGAACGAAACGCAUGUCCUGAAU